rnacentral:rRNA from 1 species
CCAUCUGGCCUAAUACUGACGCUGAGGUACGAAAGCAUGGGGAGCAAACAGGAUCUAGAUACCCUGGUAGUCCAUGCCGUAAACGAUGUCUACUAGCCGUUGGGGCCUUUGAGGCUUUAGUGGCGCAGCUAACGCGAUAAGUAGACCGCCUGGGGAGUACGGUCGCAAGACUAAAACUCAAAUGAAUUGACGGGGGCCCGCACAAGCGGUGGAGCAUGUGGUUUAAUUCGAUGCAACGCGAAGAACCUUACCUGGCCUUGACAUACUAAGAACUUUCCAGAGAUGGAUUGGUGCCUUCGGGAACUUAGAUACAGGUGCUGCAUGGCUGUCGUCAGCUCGUGUCGUGAGAUGUUGGGUUAAGUCCCGCAACGAGCGCAACCCUUUUCCUUAUUUGCCAGCGGGUCAUGCCGGGAACUUUAAGGAUACUGCCAGUGACAAACUGGAGGAAGGCGGGGACGACGUCAAGUCAUCAUGGCCCUUACGGCCAGGGCUACACACGUGCUACAAUGGUCGGUACAAAGGGUUGCUACCUCGCGAGAGGAUGCUAAUCUCAAAAAGCCGAUCGUAGUCCGGAUCGCAGUCUGCAACUCGACUGCGUGAAGUCGGAAUCGCUAGUAAUCGCGGAUCAGAAUGCCGCGGUGAAUACGUUCCCGGGCCUUGUACACACCGCCCGUCACACCAUGGGAGUUUGUUGCACCAGAAGUAGGUAGUCUAACCGCAAGGAGGACGCUUACCACGGUGUGGCCGAUGACUGGGGUGAAGUCGUAACAAAGGUAA